CUACGAUCAGUUUGUCAGCUGAUUGAUUGUCACGGAGUCAGCUGUUAAGUCUUAUUUGGCUAAUCCCUCCCUCCCAAUCCAACUUACGGCGUAGUGAAUCCUGUGGGUUGUCGUUGGUGGUUGUAAUUCCCUUCGGUAUUAACUCACAUCACUAAUAACAUUUCACAGAACAAAAAUAUCAAUUUUUGUACAAGACGAUCGAAUGUUGAAUGCAGGUUUAGGAACACACCAAACACACACUAAAAUAGAAGGGAAGUUAAUAUUUCCCUCGCCAGAUGGUCACUGGCUGAAUGGCAAAGUAAAUCCUUUGACAAGCAGGUUACCACUUAACAAGCAGUUCAUUUCUUUAUUUUAACUGUUCCGCCUCGGCUGCCACCAACCACGUGACGGCACUCGGCACUCUCUUCGGAUGAAGUUAUCCCCCUAAGAGGGGAACCUAAGAGAUAAUCCCAGAGGCAGAGGCAUAGCAGCAGCAUUUUAUGCAUCAUUUGAAUGGUGCACAAGCACUGUAGGUGGCCCACACCCACGCGACUUGCUUUGCACACAGAAAAAACACACGUGACACACACACACACACACACACACAUGCACAUAAUUAUGUAAGCUCCUGCUCCUUCCCGGACAACAGCUGAUUGCGGCACAGGAAAACGAGACACACAAACACACACAAAAAUUUACAAAAUAUUUGUUUGAAAAGUUUCGGAAAGCACGAACACGUCAGAGAGCCAGCGAAAAAUCUUUUGCAUUGAUUUUGAAACACCACCCCACUGCUGCUGGCAGGGAACGCGACGCAAUUGAACGACAACGAAGCAGGGCAGAAUGAAAGAAAGCAAAAACCACCGAAUACCGUGCCCGAAACAAAAGCGGGCAAAACGGAACACGGGAGUACAGCAAGGACGUAGCAGCAAGCUUAAGGCAUCAUCCAGCUUUGACUGGAACUAAACGGAAUGUUGCUGCUGGCAUUCCGGGCACUGCUGGUGCUGCUGCUACUGCUACUGCUGCAGUGGGGGCGCAACUAGUGCGCCAUGCUGUGGCACAGGACAGUCACAGGCCGCCCGCCUCGUCGUGUGUCACUGAGUCGAUUGACCGUUCGGUUCGGGAGGGCGACCGAUAUCCUUUCCCUGUAGUUGUUGUUGUUGCUCUACCCAACACGAAUAAAUAUUGGGAUGAAUGGGUAUAUAAA